rnacentral:rRNA from 1 species
CAUGCAAGUCGAGCGGUAAGGCCCUUCGGGGUACACGAGCGGCGAACGGGUGAGUAACACGUGGGUGAUCUGCCCUGCACUUCGGGAUAAGCCUGGGAAACUGGGUCUAAUACCGGAUAUGACCUUCGGCUGCAUGGCUGAGGGUGGAAAGGUUUACUGGUGCAGGAUGGGCCCGCGGCCUAUCAGCUUGUUGGUGGGGUAAUGGCCUACCAAGGCGACGACGGGUAGCCGACCUGAGAGGGUGACCGGCCACACUGGGACUGAGACACGGCCCAGACUCCUACGGGAGGCAGCAGUGGGGAAUAUUGCACAAUGGGCGAAAGCCUGAUGCAGCGACGCCGCGUGAGGGAUGACGGCCUUCGGGUUGUAAACCUCUUUCAGCAGGGACGAAGCGAGAGUGACGGUACCUGCAGAAGAAGCACCGGCCAACUACGUGCCAGCAGCCGCGGUAAUACGUAGGGUGCAAGCGUUGUCCGGAAUUACUGGGCGUAAAGAGCUCGUAGGCGGUUUGUCGCGUCGUCUGUGAAAACUCGAGGCUCAACCUCGAGCUUGCAGGCGAUACGGGCAGACUUGAGUACUGCAGGGGAGACUGGAAUUCCUGGUGUAGCGGUGAAAUGCGCAGAUAUCAGGAGGAACACCGGUGGCGAAGGCGGGUCUCUGGGCAGUAACUGACGCUGAGGAGCGAAAGCGUGGGUAGCGAACAGGAUUAGAUACCCUGGUAGUCCACGCCGUAAACGGUGGGCGCUAGGUGUGGGUUUCCUUCCACGGGAUCCGUGCCGUAGCUAACGCAUUAAGCGCCCCGC